GACGAACGCUGGCGGCUUGCUUAACACAUUCAAGUCGAGCGGAUCGGCGAACGGGUGAGUAACGCGUGAAUAACUGCCCCCCUCUCUGGGAUAACAGUUGACAACGGCUUCUAAUACCGGAUAGUGGGGGAUGACUCUCGUCCUAUCAGCUUGUUGGUGGGGUAGUGGCCUACAAAGGCCACUACGGGUAGCCGGCCUGAGAGGGCGACCGGCCACAUUGGGCUGAGAUACGGCCCAAACUCCUACGGGAGGCAGCAGGGGGGAAUAUUGCACAAUGGGGGAAACCCUGAUGCAGAAACGCCGCGUGCGGGAUGACGGCAUUCGGGUUGUAAACCGCUUUCAGCCAGGACGCGGUAGUGGCAGAAGAAGCACAGGCUGACUACGUGCCAGCAGCCGCGGUAAUAC
rnacentral:rRNA from 1 species